rnacentral:rRNA from 1 species
ACCCGCUGAAUUUAAGCAUAUCAAUAAGCGGAGGAAAAGAAACCAACAGGGAUUGCCUUAGUAACGGCGAGUGAAGCGGCAAAAGCUCAAAUUUGAAAUCGGCCACCAGGUCGAGUUGUAAUUUGUAGAUUGUAUCUUGAGAGCGGAUUAAAGUCUGUUGGAACACAGCGCCUUAGAGGGUGACAGCCCCGUAAAAUCUAUUCUCAUUGUAAGAUACUUUCGAAGAGUCGAGUUGUUUGGGAAUGCAGCUCUAAGUGGGAGGUAAAUCCCUUCUAAAGCUAGAUAUUGACGAGAGACCGAUAGCGAACAAGUACUGUGAAGGAAAGAUGAAAAGCACUUUGAAAAGAGAGUGAAAAAGUACGUGAAAUUGUUAAAAGGGAAGGGUAUUGAAUCAGACUUGGUGCUGUUGUUCAACUGUGUUUCGGCAUAGUGUACUCAGCAGUACUAGGCCAAGGUGGGGUGUUUGGGAGUGAAAAAGAAGUUGGAACGUAACUCUUCGGAGUGUUAUAGCCUACUUUCAUAGCUCCUCAGGCGCCUCAGGACUGCGCUUCGGCAAGGACCUUGGCAUAAUGAUUCUAUACCGCCCGUCUUGAAACACGGACCAAGGAG